rnacentral:rRNA from 1 species
AGUCAAUAGAUACCCGGGUAGUCCCAGCAGUAAACGGUGCGCGUUUGGUGUGAGCAGAUUCGACUCUGUUCGCGCCGGAGCUAACGCGUUAAACGCGCCGCCUGGGAAGUACGAUCGCAAAGAUUAAAAACUCAAAGAAAUUGACGGGGGCCCGCACAAGCGGUGGAGUAUGUGGCUUAAUUCGAUGCAACGCGAAGAACCUUACCUGGGUUUGACAUGCAUCUCUAAGGAGGUGAAAGCUUCCGAGGGUAGCAAUACCCGAUUUGCACAGGUGCUGCAUGGCUGUCGUCAGCUCGUGUCGUGAGAUGUUGGGUUUAAGUCCCGCAACGAGCGCAACCCUUGUAUGCUGUUGCUAUGCUUACGCAUAGCUCUCUGCGUAGACUGCCCCGUGAAACGGGGAGAAGGUGGGGAUGACGUCAAGUCAGCAUGGCCCUUACACCCAGGGCUGCACACGUACUACAAUGCUCAGUACAAUUAGAACCUGCCCCGCGAGGGUUGGGAAAUCAGCGAAAA